rnacentral:rRNA from 1 species
AUUGAACGCUGGCGGCAGGCCUAACACAUGCAAGUCGAACGAGUGGCGGACGGGUGAGUAAUGUCUGGGAAACUGCCUGAUGGAGGGGGAUAACUACUGGAAACGGUAGCUAUUACAGCAUACCAUCGGAUGUGCCCAGAUGGGAUUAGCUAGUAGGUGGGGUACAGGCUACACUAGGCGACGAGCCAUAGCUGGUCUGAGAGGAUGACCAGGCACACUGGAACUGAGACACGGUCCAGACUCCUACGGGAGGCAGCAGUGGGGAAUAUUGCACAAUGGGCGCAAGCCUGAUGGAGCCAUGCCGCGUGUAUGAAGAAGGCCUUCGGGUUGUAAAGUACUGUCAGCGGGGAGGAGUUACCCGCAGAAGAAGCACCGGCUAACUCCGUGCCAGCAGCCGCGGUAAUUC